rnacentral:rRNA from 1 species
UACGUAGGGUGCAAGCGUUAAUCGGAAUUACUGGGCGUAAAGCGUGCGUAGGCGGUUAUGCAAGACAGAUGUGAAAUCCCCGGGCUCAACCUGGGAACUGCAUUUGUGACUGCAUAGCUGGAGUGCGGCAGAGGGGGAUGGAAUUCCGCGUGUAGCAGUGAAAUGCGUAGAUAUGCGGAGGAACACCGAUGGCGAAGGCAAUCCCCUGGGCCUGCACUGACGCUCAUGCACGAAAGCGUGGGGAGCAAACAGG